GCCAUAAACAGAGAUGCAAUAGUGGUUGUAAUGAAUAUGAUGAAAAAAACAUUGGUUAAAAAUCAUUUCUUCUAUUUAAGCUAUUUACAUUUAUACCAGUAUGUAAAAUAUACGCACUGAGUACUACAUAAUGUCUAUAACUUGUGUGCGAAAGAAAGAAAAAAAUAACUGUAAUUAUUAUAGUAACGCGGUGGGAGGGAAUAAUAAGGCACGUGCCCUAGCUGAGUGUCUUCUCCUGAAAAUUUCUACGGUGCUGCUGAAUAUAAUACUAAAGAUAAACGGUAUUUUUCCCACAAUAAUAUCUCCUUCUUUGCACAAGGUACCUUACAUUGUAAAGAUAAAAGAGCCAUUCCAUUCAUAAAAUGGGUUGAGCUGCUAAUACCGAAUGGAGUGAAAUAGUAGUUAUAGUCUACAAGGGAGUAUAAGUAAUAACACCGAUAACGAGCCAGUGGAUAGGAAAUCGUACAAUACAAUACAUGAUGAUGUGGAAGACUUCACGAAUCACUGUAAAGAAACGAUUUUCAUUACCUUCCAAAAAGGUUGGGUUCUGUAAAUUUGAAAGUAAAUAAUAAAUCAAAUAUAUAAUACAUGAAGUCAUGAAGAAA